CUGUAUAACCCUGAGGGUCUCCUUCCAUUUCCAUGCAAUUUCCCUUCUCUCUCCCUUUCCCUCCCACCUCUCAUCCCUGUUAAAUGUUAAUCUUCUUCUCCUGCUCUUCGUCCCUUUACAAUAUUUUUAUUCGCGGUCCAAACUCAGUUCUUCACCAUGAUAAGAACUGAAUGAUGUAGUUCUUCGCAGCUGCAUUUUCUGGUUUCCAUGAGGUGGAGGCUAAGAAUUGCUGUAGAGAAGCCCCGACAUUUGCCAAACGUUUACUGCUGCGCUCACAAAUUUCCUGUGGGGACACUAUUCAGGCAUGAUAUUCCUGAAAGAAUUCCUCCAAGCAAGACACUUCGCUGGGGAGAGUUCCACUUUAUUACAAAAGGCUGUGGGCUUAUAUAGAUCUAAGGAGAGGUGACAGGGCUUAGGUAAAUGACCUGUCACUCGUUUAUUGGGGUUCACAUAUUUUACUGAAGUUCAUCCAUAGACACCUCUCAGAUUAAGAGCCUCAGGUGUAGAAGGUAAGAAUUCUGGGGAGCACAAGAAUUUGAGGGGCAAGAAGCAGAGGUAAAUAGGAGCAGCCAAAGACAGAAACUGAGUAGGAGCAGCCAGAAUGGUUAGGAAAGUUGAUGGUCCUAUUUGGGUGUGAUAGUGCAUGACUGUAAUCUUAGCAAUU